rnacentral:lncRNA from 12 species
UUGGAAGUCUGAUUCAUUUUAGUGAAUUGAUUCAUGUGAAAUGAGCCAGUUCAUAAAUGAUUCACAGAUUUCAUUUGAGUCCCUGAAGAGAUAACUACAUGGUGUUUAUGUCACAAGGUGACGAUCUUUAGGGGCGGAACCAAAAUUCGGGAAGUUUGGUUCCGCCCGGACCGGAAAAACAGAACACCGGAACUUCCGGUAGCGCCGUAAGAAGGAAAAUCAGGGAAUUCGAUGCACCUGUGCCUAGUUAGGGACAGCGGUUGGUGAUUGGAGGAUACGCUGGACAAGGCAGUACUUAAGGCCAAGUUAUUUCACAGUCUGGGAGCUCUUUCUGGCUGGAAUUGUAUGAUUGUGAAGACAUCGCGAACCUUAAAGGUUGAGAAGUGAACGGAUUAUACGGCGAACUGAGACGACGUGAAAAAGGGGAUUGGAAGCGGCAUUGAUGUGAGUACUAAGAGCCAGUCGAAAGUGCCCUGUAUAUUGACCUGGCGUUGUGUAGAUCUCUCCAGGAGGAGGAGGGCGGCCCUACCCCUAAUAUAGCGUGGUGGGAGAGCCGAAGGAAUACUUAUUGAAGUAGUCACAACGACGACAUCACUAGCUAGGCCGCAUAUUCCAUCGCCAGAUCCGAACCAAGCGAAGUGAAGGAAGACGGGUGUCCUUUUCGUACACUGAGUGUGGUGGGUGAGUCUUCGUGCUGUGAAAACCUAUAAUUUUGACGUGGUGUUGUAUAUUGCUGUGGGCUGCUGUGUAUUGCCGUGUGUCCUGUCAGAUAAACCCCCGCCUUCACGCACUUCGUCGCGGGAGGACAAGGAGACUGCUGGUCCUAGCCUAGUUCAGUACAGUAUAUGUUGUGAGCGUGCUUCAGAUCUCCGGAGAUAGCACGGUACGCUGUGUCCAGCCCAGAGGUGAAAGCCAUCCAAAGCAGAGUAACUGUGCUUUGUGUCCAAGUUGAUACCUGUGGAGAGGAAAGGAAAGAGAGAUUGAUACCUGUGGAGAGAAAAGGAGAGAGAGUGAGUAACACGAGGAGAGACCGAGGAAACCUGUACUUACGCCGCUGCCUGUGGAGAAAGAGAAAGCGAGUGAGCACCCAAGGAACGAACUGUGUGAACCAGUACUUACUGUGAGCUGUAAUCAGCGAAGAGCCGUUGCCUGUGGAGGAAGAGAAAGAGAGUGAGCACCCCGAGAACGAACUGUGUGAACCAGUACUUACCGUGAGCUGUAUUCAGCGAAGAGGAGGAAGAAGGAGGGCGCUACGGAUACCUAAGACUCAGGCCGGGGCCCGAGUCCCACGCCCCGGAUCCCCGUGGCCCCCUUGCUCCCUGACCUCUUCCCGGCCAUAGCCCAUCUGGAGGGCCGAGUCAGAGUUUAGUUUUAAUUGCCCUUUCCCUAUUCCCCAAGCUAUUUUUAAAUAUUUAAAUAAAGAUUGUUUUAUCACUUACUUGUUCUCGUGUUGUUUGGCCAUUGGGUUGGCUUUGGGGACCUCCUCGAGGUGGAAGUUGAGAAGGGGUGUGGCUUAGUCAAAGCAUAGCCAGCCCCUGGGUGUGACAUUUAGUUUUCUUUUUUGUAGCGGUAUACAAAAUGUUUUAGUAUUUACUAAAAGUUAGAUAUACUUACUACAAAAUACUUUCUACAAAAUGCUAAUACUUAAAAUAUGUAGUUAAAU